CAGCCGCCGCGGGAAUACGAAGGGGGCUAGCGUUGUUCGGAAUUACUGGGCGUAAAGCGCACGUAGGCGGAUAUUUAAGUCAGGGGUGAAAUCCCAGAGCUCAACUCUGGAACUGCCUUUGAUACUGGGUAUCUUGAGUAUGGAAGAGGUGAGUGGAAUUCCGAGUGUAGAGGUGAAAUUCGUAGAUAUUCGGAAGAACACCAGUGGCGAAGGCGGCUAACUGGACCAUUCUUGACGCUGAGGGACGAAAGCGUGGGGAGCAAACAGGAUUAGAUACCCGAGUAGUCCCUGUCUCUUAUAA
rnacentral:rRNA from 1 species